rnacentral:ncRNA from 1 species
CCGGCGGAUUCCGAAAAGCCAUUCAGAAAACAGAGUAGGAG